CCCAGACUCCAUCCUGAGCCCAUUUUUCCAAAUUUUUCUCUCUUCAGAAUGUGAGGUACUGAUUGGCCUGUUUUCUUCAAGUCAGGAUUACUGUAUUCAUCCACAUAAUUGCUGCCUUCAGAAAGUGGUCAGAAACUUUUUUUUUUUGGCAUAGGGAAAACAGGCUGAAAAUCUGAUGGCUUUCUGAUUCUAAUUUGCAUUUCUGUGGGUGAGGAUAAGCGUUUCUCUUCCCCAGCCUCAGGUGCCCUCUUCCAGAUUAGCUCCGACACACUUGAGGUCUUGGACUUUCUGGUUGGGACUAGUGGACCCUGUGGGUUAUUAUUACUUCAGACUGAAGCCAAGAUGGUGUGUGGCGCCAUCUUUUGCCACAGAAUCCUGCCAGCCUCCUGCUACUUCUUGCCGCGAGGGAAGAAGUGCGAGUGUGGAGAGAUGCACAAAGAUUCCUGCCCACUCACCGCAGAUGGGAUUUUAUUUGAUUUCAUUCGAUGCAAGAUUUCGUCAAGAAAAAUAUUUUCACGCCAAGAAUAAACAUUUACUAUGAUCAUCUGUAUUGGAAGAGACAACAGGUGUUGAUGAAGGGAAUGUCUGUUGACACAGCUUACAGAAAUAAAGACGGUUUUUAGGGGGUAUCUUCAAAUAGGGGAGCAUCAUUUCCCCCAGGUUUUGUUGAGACAGCGUCUACUGGACAUACUCUCUGGGAAAGGGAGACCUCACUCUGGAUAAGAGGAUGAAGGACUCAUUAGAAGAUUGUAGCACAUAGCAUGUCCUUUGCAGAGUUGGAGGUUUUGUGUGUUUUCCAAAUACACACAGCACACCUUCCUCUUUUCCCGUGAUGACAUUCCACCCACGACUGAGGUGGAGGACAAAGCCCAGAUCCACCACUCUGAAAACAUUUUAGGGACCUGUUUCUAGGUGAAAGCACAUGUGGGAAGACUGCUCUUCAAACCUCAACGUUUUGAGACUUAAAGGCAAAUAUGAGAGAAACAAUUUUCCUCUUUGAAGCUAUAAAGUGAAAGAAGGCAGAAAAGUCUUAAAAAUUCUAAGAGUUGAGAAGCAGGGAGGGAGCACAGAGUUUUAUACAGGGCUAAUUUUAUUUGAAACAUAAAUUCUAACUACUACCUCUGUCAUAAAUCUUGGUAUUUAAUUUUUUUUAACUUAGAGAAAAUUCAGACCUGUAGUUCAAAUAAAACUUCCAGUGGUUUAAAUCUAUUCAUUUGGACCAUACAUUACUUUUUUUUUUUUUUUUUUUUUUUAAAGGGCCACACCUGUGGCAUAUGGAGGUUCCCAGGCUAGGG
rnacentral:lncRNA from 9 species